GAUGAACGCUGGCGGCGUGCCUAAUACAUGCAAGUCGAGCGAACGGACGAGAAGCUUGCUUCUCUGAUGUUAGCGGCGGACGGGUGAGUAACACGUGGAUAACCUACCUAUAAGACUGGGAUAACUUCGGGAAACCGGAGCUAAUACCGGAUAAUAUUUUGAACCGCAUGGUUCAAAAGUGAAAGACGGUCUUGCUGUCUCUUAUAGAUGUAUCCGCGCUGCAUUAGCUAGUUGGUAAGGUAACGGCUUACCAAGGCAACGAUGCAUAGCCGACCUGAGAGGGUGAUCGGCCACACGGGAACGGAGACACGGACCAGACUCCUACGGGAGGCAGCAGUAGGGAAGAUUCCGCAAUGGGCGAAAGCAUGACGGAGCAACGCCGCGUGAGUGAUGAAGGUCUUCGGAUCGUAAAACUCUGUUAUUAGGGAAGAACAUAUGUGUAAGUAAAUGUGCACAUCUUGACGGUAACUAAUCAGAAAGCCACGGCUAACUACGUG
rnacentral:rRNA from 1 species